UACGGAGGGUGCAAGCGUUAUCCGGAUUCACUGGGUUUAAAGGGUGCGUAGGUGGGUUGGUAAGUCAGUGGUGAAAUCUCCGGGCUUAACCCGGAAACUGCCGUUGAUACUAUCAAUCUUGAAUAUCGCGUAGGUAAGCGGAAUAUGUCAUGUAGCGGUGAAAUGCUUGGAUAUGACAUAGAACACCAAUUGCGAAGGCAGCUUACUUCACGAUCAUUGACACUGAGGCACGAAAGCGUGGGGAGCAAACAGG
rnacentral:rRNA from 1 species